rnacentral:rRNA from 1 species
UCGGGAAUUUUGGGCAAUGGGCGAAAGCCUGACCCAGCAACGCCGCGUGUGUGAAGAAGGCCUGAGGGUUGUAAAGCACUUUCAGUGGGGAGGAGUGUUGAUUGGUUAAGAGCUGAUUAAUUGGACGUUACCCACAGAAGAAGCACCGGCUAACUCCGUGCCAGCAGCCGCGGUAAUACAGAGGGUGCAAACGUUGUUCGGAUUUACUGGGCGUAAAGGGCGCGUAGGCGGCAUGACAAGUCACUUGUGAAAUCUCCGAGCUUAACUCGGAACGGUCAACUGAUACUGUCACACUAGAGUACAGAAGGGGCAAUCGGAAUUCUUGGUGUAGCGGUGAAAUGCGUAGAUAUCAAGAGGAACACCUGAGGCGAAGGCGGGUUGCUGGGCUGAUACUGACGCUGAGGCGCGAAAGCUAGGGUAGCAAACGGGAUUAGAUACCCUAGUAGUCCCUGAGCGGGCUGGCAAGGCGCAU